UCUGAGGGAGAAUUUGUUCUUGGUCCCAGUAGGAACGGGGCCUAUUCAAGGAGGCCCCAAUCCUAGGAGGAGAUGGGCCCCGAGAGAGAAUCUCGCCCACCGGAGAAAACUCUUCCUCUGCUUUCCCAGCAGAGCAAAGACAAGGCGCAGGGCUGAACAUACCCAGCCCCCCUAAGCCACUCUUCUUGGGGUUUCCAGAACGUUCAGUUUGGUCAUCCUCCUUUGGACAUGCUCCAGCUUGUCAACGUCCUUCUUGGAUUGUAGUGACCAGAAAUGGAAACAAUAUUCCAGACAGAUUUGUUCUCUCCUGUUUGUCCUCCUCCAAGGGGGGAUUUUGGGGUGCUGACAAGUGGAGGAAGGAUUGAACGAAGGAGAAUGAAAAUAGGAGGCAGAGAAGAAUUCCAUCGAUUUGUCCUUGACUCUGAUCUGAACCGGGGAGAGAGAGAGUGAGAACGAGCAGAUCCCACUUCCAAGAAACAUGACUCAGAGUACACACGAUCCGCCUUCCUUUCCCCGCUGCCGCGUCUGCACUGGCCCGAGGCACUACAGAAACGACUUGAAGGCACAUAACAACAACAGCAACCAGCCUCCACCACUGCCCUUCCAGCCUUUUCUCCUGGCUGCAUGAAAAAGCCCAUCAAGCCUCCCGCCCAGUUACAAACACCCACAUUCUGAGCAUGAGAAAGAACGGGGCAACCGAGAUUCAGAGCUUCACGAGAUUCAUGCUCCAGUGGCUCAGCAGAGGAAGUCGGUUUUCAUUGCUGUCGCCACCAGAGAGGGAAAGGUUGGCAGGCAUGACGUCAACCGGAUCCCUGCAGUAUGAAUGAGAGGCGUGGCGUCCCCUUCCGCCCCCCCAAACAGCACAUCAAUUGGACCUGCACAUUUGAUAUACCCAUCUAGACAGAGAAUCGCCCAAAACGAUGCACCUUCGAGUGUGGACACCCCCUCUUUGUGUAUUAUGAAGUGCACCCUGCAUCACCUAAAGGGGCAGUGGAUUCCUCUGUUUCAAGGUUCCAGUCCUGCCACACUUCUGUCCUACAUCUGAGAAGACCAUUCACCUCACUGAGCACAAGGGGAUCUACUCCAGAGGAGACAACUAAACAGGCCCAAGAGGAGGACAUGCCACUAGGUGUGUUUUACUCUCAGGAGAGGAAAAGAAGUCCAAUGGAUGGAGAUGGAGAAGCCACCAAGGGCAACACCAAGCAGAGAUCCUUCUUAGUGGUGGGAUGAAAGAAGAGGGGAAAGAUGGAAGAAAACCCUAGGCG